CCUUUUGAUGGCCUUUGCAGUGAAUGACUCCAGCUUCCUUUGGAAGUAAAGCGGCCUUGAGCAGAGUUUUUAUUAAAGAGGCAUUAAUGAUGGAGGACCCUUGCGUAGUGAGGAAACCUCUUUCAGCCUAUAUAACAGCAUGGUGGUGCAGAAUAUGAAAGGCAUAUUUAGAGUCAGUAUAAAUAUUGAUGCGUAGUCCUUUUGCAAGAGUGAGGGCUUGAGUUAAGGCAACUAAUUUGGCUUGCUGAGAGGUAGUGGAGGGGGACAGAGUGGUAGCCUCAAUAACAGAUGUGGAAGAUACUAUUGCAUAGUCUGCCUUUGCUGGUGAGUGGCGAUUAGGCCUGGUGGAACUGCCAUCAAUAAACCAAAUGUGAUCAGGGUGAGAAACAGGGAAGAAGGAAAUGUGGGGAAAUGGGGUGAACAUCAGGUGGAUCAGAGAGAUGCAGUAAUGAGGGUCAGGUGUGGUAUCCAGAAUAAUGUGGGAGGCUAGAUUGAAGUUCGUGCCAGGAACAAUGGUAAUUGUGGGAGACUUAACAAAGAGUGAGUACAGCUGAAGGAGCCAGGGAGCGUCAGGUGUGAGGAAGAAAAUAGAUCUUGGAAGUUAUGAGAAAUGUAGAGAGUGAGUUGAGCACAGUUUGUGAUUUUUAGGGCCUCUAAAAGUAUUAAAGCAGUGGCAGCCGUUGCACGCAGACAUGAGGGCUAGGCUAAAACAGUAAGGUCAAGUUGUUUGGGCCGAAAGGCUACAGGGUGCGGUUCUGGCUCCUGUGUAAGAAUUCUGCCCGUACUAACCAUGCCUAGGAAGGAAAGGAGUUGUUGUUUUAUAGAAGGGAUUGGGGUUUGGGAGAUUAGCCGGACACGAUCAGCAGGGAGAGCACAUGUGUUUUUAUGAGAAUUAUGCCGAGAUAGGUAACAGAUGAGGAAGAAAUUUGGGCUUAACUGAAGUAAUGGGGGCUGUCUGUGAAGACUUGCGGCAGUACAGCCCAGGUAAUUUGCUGAGCCUGAUGGAUGUCAGGGUCAGUCCAAGUGAAAGCGAAGAGAGGCUGGGAUGAAGGGUGCAAAGGAAUAGUAAAGAAAGCAUGUUUGAGAUCUAGAACAGAAUAAUGGAUUGUGGCGGGAGGUAUUGAGGAUAGGAGAGUAUAUGGGUUUGACACCAUGGGGUGGAUAGGCAAAACAAUUUGGUUGAUAAGGCACAGAUCUUGAACUAAACUGUAAGCCUUGUCUGGUUUUAGGACAGGUGAAAUGAGGGAAUUGUAAGGGGAGUUUAUAGGUUUUAGAAGCCCAUGCUGUAGCAGGUGAGUGAUAACAGGCUUUAAUCCUUUUAAAGCAUGCUAUGGGAUGGGAUAUUGGCGUUGAGCAGGGUAAGGGUGAUUAGGUUUUAAUUGGAUGGUAAUGGGCAUGUGAUCAGUUGCCAGGGAAGGAGUAGAGAUGUCCCAUACUUGUGGGUUAAGGUGGGGGGAUAUGAGAGGAAGACACAAAGGAGGCUUUGGGUUGGGGAGAAGGGCAGCAAUGAGAUGCGGCUGUAGUCAGGAAUAGUCAGGGAAGCAGAUAAUUUAGUUAAAAUGUCUUGGCCUAAUAAGGGAACUGGGCAGUUGUGGAUAAUUAAAAAAGAAUGCAUAAAAGAAUGUUUUCUAAGUUGGCACCAGAGUUGGGGAGUUUUACGAGGCUUAGAAGCCUGGCCAUCGAUGCCUACAACAGUUAUGGAGGCAAGGGAAACAGGCCCUUGAAAAGAAGGUAAUGUGUAGUGGGUAGCCUCUGUAUGGACUAAGAAGGGGACGGACUUACCCUCCAUUGUUAGAGUUACCUAGAGCAUCUGUGAUUGUCCUGUAGGCUUCCGAGGCGAUCAGGCAGUGUCAGUCUUCAGCUGCUAAGCCGAGAAGAUCUGGGAAGAAGUCAGUCAGAGAGCCUUAGGUCAGAGUUCCAGGGGCUCUGGGAGUGGCUGCCAGGUGAGUUGAACAGUCUGAUUUUCAGUGGGGUCCGACACAGGUGGAAUGCGCCUUAGGAGGAAUCCCGGGCUGUGGGCAUUCCUUGGCCCUGUGGCCAGAUUUCCAGCACUUGUAGCAAGCUCCUGGGGGAGGAGGUUCUGGAGGAACCCCUGGCAGCUGUGGUUCGGGCAUUUGGAGUUCUCAUGUGCUGGAGAUGUGGCUGGGGUUUGUCUCACAGCGGAGGCAAGGAAUUGCAACUCAGAAAUACGUUGCUACUUGGCUGCUUCUAUUCUAUUAUUGUACACCUUGAAGUACUCACUACUUGAUCUCCAAGGGAGAGAGAAAAAAGCAUUUUGUACAGGAAACGUCACCAGGAAUUUUACAGGCCACACAGGGAAGGAAAACUGCCUUGCCUUGAAUCCAACACAGCAGGGACCUGGGCACUGACUGGAAUAGAGAACUGAGUUCAAUGAAAGGCCCCAUGGAGCUGGCUUCAUAGGAUGAAGCUGAAAUACACCAAGAAGUAAAGGAACAACUGGGUUUCAUGACUUUAAAAGUCCAACAUUGGGAAGAAGUA
rnacentral:lncRNA from 1 species